rnacentral:rRNA from 1 species
AUUGAACGCUGGCGGCAUGCCUUACACAUGCAAGUCGAACGGUAACAGGUCUUCGGAUGCUGACGAGUGGCGAACGGGUGAGUAAUACAUCGGAACGUGCCCGAUCGUGGGGGAUAACGAGGCGAAAGCUUUGCUAAUACCGCAUACGAUCUACGGAUGAAAGCAGGGGACCGCAAGGCCUUGCGCGAACGGAGCGGCCGAUGGCAGAUUAGGUAGUUGGUGGGAUAAAAGCUUACCAAGCCGACGAUCUGUAGCUGGUCUGAGAGGACGACCAGCCACACUGGGACUGAGACACGGCCCAGACUCCUACGGGAGGCAGCAGUGGGGAAUUUUGGACAAUGGGCGAAAGCCUGAUCCAGUCAUGCCGCGUGCAGGAUGAAGGCCUUCGGGUUGUAAACUGCUUUUGUACGGAACGAAAAGACUCUGGUUAAUACCUGGGGUCCAUGACGGUACCGUAAGAAUAAGCACCGGCUAACUACGUG